UUUAAUACCAGAACAAUAAAAGCAAAUCACUAGGCAAAUAAUGCUCUUUCUGGAGAAUAUGUUGCAUGUGGAUAGGAUUUUCUUAUCCAAAGGGCUUCCCAGAGGCAUCCUGGAGGUGGAAAUUGGACAAAACAUCUUUGGCAUUGCGGUGUCCCACUGUAGCAAGCAAAUAACGUUCCUGGAUUAAUGCCUGUGAGAACAGCAUGAACAGCAGAGAACAUUUGAACAGCAGACAGCUUAGUGCUAUCUGCUCAUGGAAGCAAACUUAACUCCAGGCAGUGUCACACAAUGGUUUCAUUUAUAGACGAAGGGCCAAACCUGCAGCUGGCGGAGUGCCACCAGAGCCAGGCGUCCAUCCGCACCUCUGUUUUCUGGGUAAACGCUUCCCUCUGCCGGCAGAAAAACGAACGAGCCACACAAUAAAACGCUUCCA